UAAAGGGCAGAUGGGAGCUGCCUUGAUUCAAAUGGAACAAAACCUGCUUGUCCACCCAGGACUGCCGCAGAUACGCUGGGGUCUGCGCUCUGUGUGCACAAUAGUUGCAUAUUCAGGGAUCGUCCUCCCUCCUGUCUACUGGAUGGAGACAUUCGAGGAUUGGCGGACCCAGCCUUUUGUCUCUGCUGCAAAGCCUUUGCGAGGAAGGGCUCGGGGGGCUUCAGAUGCGCGUGCCACCGUUGUGGCGAUCUGUUCCUUUGUCAUACGCAGGAAGUGUCAUCUUUCAAGCCACUGAAAGCAGCUGCCUCGGUGUGGAAAACCGUUGCUUUGACCUCUGAACAGAUCGGUGAUCCUGUCUGCUUUCUGCCUUCUGCAACUCAGCACCUGAGUUUUCUCGCUACCAGCAAGGGUAUUCCCGGUGUCCCUCCACCCUCCCUUGAUCCGCGGGGCUCCAGAGAAACGUGUUUACUGGGUAGUCUCUGCUUGGAGGUUGUGCCAGUAGCUUCUCGUGAGCGCUCCUAUAAAGCCCAAGCAACGCCCUCCUGGAGGCUGCUGCCAACACCAGUGUCCUGCUGGCACUGCCUCCUCUCACCACCUUUCCAAACCAACAAGCUCCCGACAUGUGUGCGCAGUGCAGCACAGGUCACGCGAGCCGUGUCCCUCCCUCCCUCCCUCCCUUUGAUUCCCUCCUUUUCAGGCUGGGGUUGGAUUGCAAAGGCUCGCUGCGGGGCUUCGGUUACUCGGUGUCUGCUGCUCCCUUGCACGUUGCUCCUCUCCAGUGCACGUCCUAGCCUGGCGUCACCCGCCUUUGAGGGUCCGGUUGCUCUGCGGACGUGUUGUCUUCAAACGCCUCUGUCGGCUGAAGGUGUCGAGGGCAGAGCUCUGUCCGCAGCAGGCGUUUUCACCCAUUUCGCUGCAUCCAUUUUGUGCUGCACGGCUCAAAUUCCUGCUCACAAAACUGCCUGCAACGUCCCCCUCGGACGACUAGAAAACCUGAGCACAGCUUGUAGCACCGAGCAUCUCUGAUCUGCGAAGACUCGACGAAAAGCAAGCCUAUUGAAUUUUCCUUUUUGUCCGCGGCUUAAAUAAAUAUGUCACAAAGCU
rnacentral:lncRNA from 1 species